AUUAAGCCUAUUUUGCAUCUUUUUGUUUUUCCCUACUCUAACCUAACGCUAAUCCCUCAUCACCGCGCCGAUUUCUUUCUUUCUUUCCUGUUCUCGCUGUCCCGCCGCUCACCCGAACUCAAGCGCCGCUCCUCUCCCUUUCUCUUCUCGUCGUCACCGCUUCUCUCCCUUUCGCCUCCCUCUCGUCGUCGCCACUCCUCUCCCUUCCUCCUCCCUAAUUUGCUCUCGUCGCUCCUCUCCCUUUUUCAUCCCUAAUCUGCUCUCGCCGUCGCCGCUUCUCUCAUCCACUCUCACGCAUACCUGUGCUGCCGCCGGCCUACAUCGCGUGUCGCCACCACGAUUGCUCCACAACACUGCCUCUACCGUGAUUCUGCCUUUCUGCGCCCUAACCCAUUCUCGUCGUCGUGGCUCCCUAAUCUUCUCUCACCGUCGCUGCUCCUCUCACCCACGCUCACUCAUCCUUGUCGUCGUUCCUCUCCUUUUCUCCUCCCUAACCUGCUAUCGCCAUCCAUCCCUGUUACUGCUCCUCUCGCCAUCGACGCUCCUCUGCCAGUCGCCGCUGCUGCCAAAGGUUGUGGAUUGGAAGUUUUGAUAGUCACCUUGCUCCUUUCUACAGAAUCAAAUAGGUGUUUCAGCCCAGGGAUUGUCAGGAAGAACAUGACCUUCCACAGGUUUAAUGGAAGAUCCAUCAGCAUGUGCAUCUUUUAUAUCAACAAUACUUAUGGGCUUGUCUGUGUGUUUGCUCAUAUUGGAUUCCUGUAAGAUCCUUUCCUCAUGAACAGGGUUAUCAUACACAGACUUUGAAGGUGCAAUUUGAAACUCAGGCUUCUGAACCAUCCUCCCUUGUUUAUAGCAUUUUUCAUCAGCGAUACCAUCAUGUUGAACAGGUCCUACAUGAAGGACAGGAUUGAAGAUAAUUUCAUGCUAGUCAUGUAUAGCCCGAUUAGUUGAAUUAUGGAUAUCUUGAGAAAAUUUAACAGUCUCUGAUCCAUGUGGAAUGGAGACAAAUUCCAAUUUAUUAGCUUGACUAGGUGUACUGACCAAUUGUUUAUUUUUUUUCAAACUGCAUGAAAUCAUCUUUGAUAGUUUCAUUACUUUGGCAUGGUGGUUUUGUAGAUAAUAAAGACUUCUCAGAAUGUGAGACCAACUCUCCCUCAAUUAUGUUAUCAGCUCUUUCAGCAAUGGAUUCUUGAGCUGCAAGCAAGCACUCCUGAUUUAUUAAAUAUUGAGAGCCAGGGGAAUCAUCAGAUUUAGAUAAUCAGUUCAGGAACUCUAACUGCUCCCUGGGAUGACUUGCAGAUUGGUAACCUCGGAAAGGCUGUGAAGGUGGAUUAUUGAAACCUACAUCAAAUGCAUCAGCUUCAUCAGCAAUGUUACUAGGUUCCAAACCGCCACGACAAUAGUAGUCAUCUUCAUUUAGGAAGUGUUAAAUUCUCUUUUUCAGAAACGACAUGCAUACUUACUGCAUGGAUAUGACUCAAAAAGGAAAUAUCAUGCUGCUGCAUGGUUGAACUAGGUUUAUGAAUGUGGGAGCUGAUAUGCUCAUCCUCCAUUUUUUUAUAUGAGAAACUAUCAACUACUAAAUUCUUAAAAGUGAAGCUAGAUAGAAGAUAUAGCUAGAUUGAAUUUUUAUUUUCUUUGAAUUUUUAUAUAUGGCUUGCGUGUCUUUCAGGGCUGGAUAGAAGAUAUAGCUAGAAUGAGCUGGUAGGGACAUACUACAUAGCCAAUAAAUUCUUAAAGAAUUGAAUUUAUCAGAGUGUGAUGUGAGGAUGGUGUAAGGAGUAUAGAAGAGAAUGCAAAGAAAGUAUAUAUGAUCAUUGUAAAUUAAUCUAGUUUCAUUGGUCAUGGAAAUAGAAUCCCUACUCAGUGAGUAUGAUGCAUACAUGUAGGCCUUGAAUGAAACACCAAAAAUGAUAUAUGUGCUAAUCUUUUCCCUUGCAUGUAAAUCAAAGUAGAGAGGUAAUUAAAUGAUGGUGCUUCACUCUAGAUCUGACUGUGGGUCUCCAAUUUGCAUGUAGUAUAAUAACAUGUUACAAAACCUGAACUCGACUCCAUUAUAACAUGCAUCCUAAUAAUUUGUAGUAUGGAAGAAGUAUAUGGUCAUCAAAGAGGUCUCAUAACAGCUUCGAGAAGAAUGGGAAGCAUUAGCUAAUUGCUAUGAAGAUCACAUGAGCAGUGCAUGGAUAUCAAAUAAUUUAUUAAGGAUUCUCGUGAAGAAGGAUUAUAGAAGUUAUCUCUAAAUCACGAGGAGUUAUUCUUUAGACUUUCUUUUGUGUAACUUUCAUGGGAAUAGUUGUUUUUUUAUUGGAUGAAUGUUGGAUGGAUGUUGGAUGCACUUCAAUUAAUGAUUAUAGAAUUUUAUAUUGUGGAUAUCA